rnacentral:rRNA from 1 species
UUUAUUGCUAUUAGAUGAGCCUAUAUUAGAUUAGCUAGUUGGUGGAGUAAUAGCCUACCAAGGCAAUGAUCUAUAGCUGAUCUGAGAGGAUGAUCAGCCACACUGGAACUGAGAUACGGUCCAGACUCCUACGGGAGGCAGCAGUGGGGAAUAUUGGACAAUGGGCGAAAGCCUGAUCCAGCCAUGCCGCAUGAGUGAAGAAGGCCUUUGGGUUGUAAAGCUCUUUUAGUGAGGAAGAUAAUGACGGUACUCACAGAAGAAGUCCUGGCUAACUCCGUGCCAGCAGCCGCGGUAAUACGGAGAGGGCUAGCGUUAUUCGGAAUUAUUGGGCGUAAAGGGCGCGUAGGCUGAUUAAUAAGUUAAAAGUGAAAUCCCGAGGCUUAACCUUGGAAUUGCUUUUAAAACUAUUAAUCUAGAGAUUGAAAGAGGAUAGAGGAAUUCCUGAUGUAGAGGUAAAAUUCGUAAAUAUUAGGAGGAACACCAGUGGCGAAGGCGUCUAUCUGGUUCAAAUCUGACGCUGAAGCGCGAAGGCGUGGGGAGCAAACAGGAUUAGAUACCCUGGUAGUCCACGCUGUAAACGAUGAAUGUUAAAUAUGGGAAGUUUACUU